AGUAUUCUAAAGAUUCGGGCGCACAUGUUUGCAGGCAGUCCUAAUGAAACAACAUCGGGAACAUCUAUCAACAAAAUAUAACAAUUGCUCUAUAAGUGAACAUUGCGCUCAAAUGAUGAUAAAUGGAUCAGUUUCUGGUUAACCUUUGACCCACAGAUUAUUGCAUUUGAUAAUCAGCAAAAGAUUGAGAUGCUGCUUCACAAAUUGGUGUAAAUUCUUGUCAGAUAUGUUCCUUAGUAUAUUCAGAAUUGUUUGCCAUAUAUAAGAACAGAAUCCCAAGUUUUGCAAGGGAUCUUUUCAUUGAGCAA